ANANAUGCAGUCGACGGUAGCAGGAAGGAAGCUUGCUUUCUUUGCUGACGAGUGGCGGACGGGUGAGUAAUGCUUGGGAAUCUGGCUUAUGGAGGGGGAUAACUGCGGGAAACUGCAGCUAAUACCGCGUAAAGUCUUUGGACUAAAGGGGGCGUUUGCUCUUGCCAUAAGAUGAGCCCAAGUGGGAUUAGGUAGUUGGUGGGGUAAUGGCUCACCAAGCCGUCGAUCUCUAGCUGGUCUGAGAGGAUGACCAGCCACACCGGGACUGAGACACGGCCCGGACUCCUACGGGAGGCAGCAGUGGGGAAUAUUGCGCAAUGGGGGGAACCCUGACGCAGCCAUGCCGCGUGAAUGAAGAAGGCCUUCGGGUUGUAAAGUUCUUUCGGUGAUGAGGAAGGCAGUUUGGUUAAUAGCCAAGCUGAUUGACGUUAGUCACAGAAGAAGCACCGGCUAACUCCGUGCCAGCAGCCGCGGUAAUACGGAGGGUGCGAGCGUUAAUCGGAAUAACUGGGCGUAAAGGGCACGCAGGCGGAUUUUUAAGUGAGGUGUGAAAGCCCCGGGCUUAACCUGGGAAUUGCAUUUCAGACUGGGAAUCUAGAGUACUUUAGGGAGGGGUAGAAUUCCACGUGUAGCGGUGAAAUGCGUAGAGAUGUGGAGGAAUACCGAAGGCGAAGGCAGCCCCUUGGGAAUGUACUGACGCUCAUGUGCGAAAGCGUGGGGAGCAAACAGGAUUAGAUACCCUGGUAGUCCACGCUGUAAACGCUGUCGAUUUGGGGGUUGGGGUUUAACUCUGGCGCCCGUAGCUAACGUGAUAAAUCGACCGUCUGGGGAGUACGGCCGCAAGGUUAAAACUCAAAUGAAUUGACGGGGGCCCGCACAAGCGGUGGAGCAUGUGGUUUAAUUCGAUGCAACGCGAAGAACCUUACCUACUCUUGACAUCCAGAGAAUCCUGUAGAGAUACGGGAGUGCCUUAGGGAGCUUUGAGACAGGUGCUGCAUGGCUGUCGUCAGCUCGUGUUGUGAAAUGUUGGGUUAAGUCCCGCAACGAGCGCAACCCUUAUCCUUUGUUGCCAGCGAUACGGUCGGG
rnacentral:rRNA from 1 species